rnacentral:rRNA from 1 species
GGGGAAUAUUGCACAAUGGGCGCAAGCCUGAUGCAGCGACGCCGCGUGGGGGAUGACGGCCUUCGGGUUGUAAACUCCUUUCGCUAGGGACGAAGCUUUUUGUGACGGUACCUAGAUAAGAAGCACCGGCUAACUACGUGCCAGCAGCCGCGGUAAUACGUAGGGUGCGAGCGUUGUCCGGAAUUACUGGGCGUAAAGGGCUCGUAGGUGGUUUGUCGCGUCGUCUGUGAAAUUCCGGGGCUUAACUCCGGGCGUGCAGGCGAUACGGGCAUAACUUGAGUACUGUAGGGGUAACUGGAAUUCCUGGUGUAGCGGUGAAAUGCGCAGAUAUCAGGAGGAACACCGGUGGCGAAGGCAGGUUACUGGGCAGUUACUGACGCUGAGGAGCGAAAGCAUGGGUAGCGAACAGGAUUAGAUACCCUGGUAGUCCAUGCCGUAAACGGUGGGCGCUAGGUGUGAGGGUCUUUUCACGACUUUCGUGCCGUAGCUAACGCAUUAAGCGCCCCGCCUGGGGAGUACGGCCGCAAGGCUA